rnacentral:rRNA from 1 species
AUUGAACGCUGGCGGCAGGCUUAACACAUGCAAGUCGAGCGGAGCGGCGGACGGGUGAGUAAUGCUUAGGAAUCUGCCUAUUAGUGGGGGACACAAUCUCGAACGGGAACCUAUUACCGCAUACUUAUAGCUGAGCCUACGUCGGCUUAGCUAGUUGGUGGGGGAAAGGCCUACCAAGGCGACGACCUGUAGCGGGUCUGGGAGGAUGCACCGCCACACUGGGACUGGGGACAGGCCCAGACUCCUACGGGAGGCAGCAGUGGGGAAUAUUGGACAAUGGGGGGAACCCUGAACCAGGCAAUCCGCGGGUGUGAAGAAGGGCUUAUGGUUGUAAAGCACUUUAAGCGAGGAGGCGUUACUCGCAGAAUAAGCACCGGCUAACUCUGUGCCAGCAGCCGCGGUAAUUC